GGCGAAGUAGUGUAAUGGAAUUAGCACGUAUUGUUCGGGUGAGGAGCGUCUGCAUCAAUAUAGUCUGGGUUCAAUUCCCAGCUUCGCCC